rnacentral:lncRNA from 1 species
UUGCCAACUUUCAUCAUCAUCCCAUACAUCUUGAAGCUCUUCCUCUCUUCUUAACAUGGUUGCAUUCAAUGAUUUGUUCAAUUGAUCCUGUUGCUGUUGGAUACUCUGCAAAGUCUUCAUAAUCUCAUCAAGAUUGGAACUUUGAGGUUCUGGUUGGGCUUGAUAUCCUUGAUAAUCCUGGUAGUUGUUAGCCUCUGCAUAACUGAAGUCUGGAUAGUCUC